rnacentral:rRNA from 1 species
UCGMACGGAAUAAUGACUUCGGUUGUUGUUUAGUGGCGGAAGGGUUAGUAAUACAUAGAUAAUCUGUCCUCAACUUGGGAAUAACGGUUGGAAACGACCGCUAAUACCGAAUGUGGUAUGUUUAGGCAUCUAAAACAUAUUAAAGAAGGGGAUCUUCGGACCUUUCGGUUGAGGGAGAGUCUAUGGGAUAUCAGCUUGUUGGUGGGGUAAUGGCCUACCAAGGCUUUGACGUCUAGGCGGAUUGA